rnacentral:rRNA from 1 species
CACGUAGGGGGCAAGCGUUGUCCGGAUUUAUUGGGCGUAAAGAGCUCGUAGGCGGCUCACUAAGUCGGGUGUGAAAUUUCGAGGCUCAACCUCGAAACGCCACCCGAUACUGGUGUGGCUAGAGUCCGGUAGGGGAGCGUGGAAUUCCUGGUGUAGCGGUGAAAUGACGCAGAUAUCAGGAGGAACACCAGCGGCGAAGGCGGCGCUCUGGGCCGGUACUGACGCUGAGGAGCGAAAGCGUGGGGAUCAAACAGG